GACGAACGCUGGCGGCGUGCUUAACACAUGCAAGUCGAACGGAAAGGCCCUGCUUUUGUGGGGUGCUCGAUUGGCGAACGGGUGAGUAACACGUGAGUAACCUGCCCUUGACUUUGGGAUAACUUCAGGAAACUGGGGCUCAUACCGCAUAGGAGCUCCUGCUGCAUGGUGGGCGUUGGAAAGUUUCGGCGGUUGGGGAUGGACUCGCGGCUUAUCAGCUUGUUGGUGGGGUAGUGGCUUACCAAGGCUUUGACGGGUAGCCGGCCUGAGAGGGUAAACGGCGACAUGGGGACUGAGAGACGGAGCAGAAUGGUACGGGAGGCAGCAGGGGGGAGUAUUACACAAUGGGCGGGAGCGUGAUGCAGCAACGUCGCGUGCGGGAUGACGGCCUUCGGGUUGUAAACAGCUGUGGCCGGAGACGAAGAGUGAGUGACGGUAAUGGGUAAAGAAGCACCGGCUAACUACGUG
rnacentral:rRNA from 1 species